rnacentral:lncRNA from 1 species
GAGUUCAUUAGUUCCGGCUUGAGGGAAGCGCCUUCUUUCACAAUUUCUUUUCAUUGUUCAUUGCGGAUAUCUGGAAGCCUUCCAGGUCCCCUGAAUGUAGUAGACACUUCAGCAGCCGUCUCCUACCCCUUUUGCCACUAAAUGCUUCAAAACUGCCUUUUUUCCUCGCCGCCGGGCCAGGCGGAACGCCUAAGUCCGGGUUCAUGAACUGGAAUGUAAGAGGCACCAGAGGAUUCCUGCUCUGUCCCCUGGUUUGCGGCUUGCGACGUUGGACAUCCCCGGAUUGUUGUUUAAUAGAGAAAACUCACCUGCCUUCUUGCUUUUAAGUAGCCCCAAAAGCAGAACCUUGAUUUGUCUGUAAGGAAGAAACACAAACCUUUUAAAAAGUUCCACUUCGACUCUGCACCGCCGACCCCCAAUCUCUUUAAUUUUGCCAUAGAAGAGGGGUUUUUUCAACAUCUCUCUCACUAUCUGGUGCUGAUCUCACUGCAUAAUGACUUUCUAUUUGUUUGGUAUUCGAAGCUUUCCGAAGCUUUGGAAGAGCCCAUACCU